rnacentral:tRNA from 1 species
UGCCCGAUGGUGUAACGGUAGCACAGCAGAUUCUGGAUCUGUUUGUCAAGGUUCGAAUCCUUGUCGGGCAG